rnacentral:rRNA from 1 species
GCUAACUACGUGCCAGCAGCCGCGGUAAUACGUAGGGUCCGAGCGUUGUCCGGAGUUACUGGGCGUAAAGCGCGCGCAGGCGGCCCGCCAAGACCGGCGUGAAAGCCCCCGGCUCAACCGGGGAGGGUCGUCGGUGACUGGCGGGCUCGAGGACGGCAGGGGUCGGUGGAAUGCCCGGUGUAGUGGUGAAAUGCGUAGAGAUCGGGCGGAACACCCGUGGCGAAGGCGGCCGACUGGGCCGGUCCUGACGCUGAGGCGCGAAGGCGUGGGGAGCGAACGGGAUUAGAUACCCGUGUAGUC